rnacentral:rRNA from 1 species
GACGAACGCUGGCGGCGUGCUUAACACAUGCAAGUCGAGCGGUAAGGCCCUUCGGGGUACACGAGCGGCGAACGGGUGAGUAACACGUGAGUAAUCUGCCCAUCACUUCGGGAUAACUCCGGGAAACCGGUGCUAAUACCGAAUAUGACCACUUCAGGCAUCUGAUGGUGGUGGAAAGUUCCGGCGGUGAUGGAUGAGCUCGCGGCCUAUCAGCUUGUUGGUGGGGUAGUGGCCUACCAAGGCUUCGACGGGUAGCCGGCCUGAGAGGGUGACCGGCCACACUGGGACUGAGACACGGCCCAGACUCCUACGGGAGGCAGCAGUGGGGAAUAUUGGACAAUGGACGAAAGCCUGAUCCAGCAACGCCGCGUGAGGGAUGACGGCCUUCGGGUUGUAAACCUCUUUCAGCAGGGACGAAGCGCAAGUGACGGUACCUGCAGAAGAAGCACCGGCCAACUACGUG